UCCGCCCCUCGGCCGGUGGACCCCAGGGCGACAGUGUGGGAGGAGCGCGGAGGCGGCGGCUGGAGCCGAGCAGCGCACGGGAGGGCGCCACGCAGCCUGAUUCCCGGCCUCCGGUCAGAGCCCGCUGUGCAGUCCUCGGGCAGACAGUUUACAGAAGAAUCAAGACUUGGAAUUUGAAAGAAACAGAGAUCGAUUUGAAUUUUUAAAGUUCUAGUGGGGUUCUCAGUCCUUUUGCAACAUGCAGAUUAUUCCCCCUGGCUCAGGAGUCAUCCACCAGGUGAGUCUGGAGUAUUUGGCAAGAGUGGUAUUUGAUCAGGAUGGAUACUAUUACCCAGACAGCUUCGUGAGCAUGGACUCGCAUACCACUAUGAUUGAUGGUUAGGGCGUUCUCGGUUCGGUUGAGUGUUCUGCAUUCCUAGUCCACAUACAUUGUCCUAUGGCACAUAUUAUGAUUUACUCUGAUACCAUUAUAUCCAGGAGCAUGAAUUUGAGUGACCACAAGUAUCAGAGAGGUAUUUUUGUCUGUUUUGUGUACUGCUGUAUUUCUAGAACCCAGAAAAUUGUCUCGUGCCUAUUAGGCACUCAGUAUAAUUUCUGGAAGAAUGAACUGGAAUAAGGGGUUGGGGACAUUUAGAAAGAAAAUCAUCUGGGUUGUUUGUUAAACACGGAUAUUCUGGAACCCCCAUUCUCCUUUUUAGCAUCGAAUCGAGGAAAUUUUGAUACAGGUGUUUGGAGGACCACACUUUGAGAAAUUCUUAUUAAACUUCUGUAAAGGGGAACAGAGAAAAGACAACUGCUCUUUAUGAAAACUUAACUCUAUACUAGUAAAACGCUGUUACUGGAGGAAGAGAGAAAAUGGCGGAGUAGAAGGACGCUUGCAGCUCACCCUCUCCCACAAAUGCACCAAGACCCACAUCCACAGACCCACUCAGCCAACCAGAGCACCUGCAGAACUCCGACAGAACAUUGCCCUCUUCAAAAGAUAAAGACGCCAAUAAUCUGGUAGGAGAAAAGGAAAAAAGAAAGAACAAAAGGCAAAGCAGAGUGGGGCGGGUCCUGCAGGGAGGGAGUGGCAAAGGAGGACUGGCCGUGCUCCUUCGCUGGGUCUCCUCUCUCCAACUGAGAGGCCAGUGGAACGGAGGGGGAGCUUCCAAGGCUUAGAUCUAUACGGAGCAGCUCUUCACUGACAGAAGUAAGUUAAACGGGCACAGAGCAUCCCCCCGAAACCCAGCCUGAGAUGCGGGCCGGCAGCUGUGGGCAGGGCCAGGCUGCCUGAGCCAGGCGGAGGAAGGGGGUGGCUGCAUUGAGGCAGCCCCGGGGGACUGCAAGGGGCUGCGUGCCAUGGCUGUGGGUGUACAGGGCAGAACAACCUGGGCCCUCCAUAAAACAACACGGUUGAUGUGCCCUGGGGGAAAGGGUGCAUACCCCCAUCUCUGAAAACCCGCAGAAAGUUUUCAGGGGAAGAGGGAGGGGCCUCAGGCACAGCCGCCAUAUCCUCCAGCGCUUGGCAUCCACGUGGGGGCAGGGGCAAAACCUGCAUCCACACUGAAGGGCUUAGCAACAUCAGAGGCCAGACUGAGACUUGUCUACAGCCCGAGGCAGAUAGGAUCCUUCCAUCCAGGUCCCUCAGAGAACUUGCUCCACAAAGACAAACAAGGAGAUGAGUUUUGGCCUGGAGCAGGGACAAGGCUGUCCCUAGGUCUUCCCUGAGCCCAUCUGUGGAGUGCCGACCAGGGCGGAGCGUGCAGCCACAAAGAGCAGCAGAGCUACCGGUGCCAGGAGAGGGGUAGUGGCCCCCCGCAUUUCAGGCAGGAACACAGCCCCUGACCGCGGUGUUGGGAGGGGGUGUGACCCACCCUCCUACCUGGCCAGUCUGCAACAUCUGACUGCGGCAUUGGGAGGGGCAGUGACCCGCCCGUCCACAGCAAAGCAGAGCUGCACCUGACCCCGUUUUAGGAGGAGGCGCGAUCUGCUUGCCGACAGGUACUGGGAGCAGCACAGAAGAGGGUGCCAAUGGAGAGCCUCUGGAAACAGCAAGCUGAGCUUCCAAAACAGGAUGAAGACAGAAAGACUUCACAUUAAAAGCACACAGAAUCCAGGAGAACACCGACAUCCCUCCCCCUUUUUUUUUAAAUCUGUUUUUACCUGUUCUGUUUUCUACUACCCUCUUAAUUUUAACUUCUUAAUUCAUUUCUAUUUCUCUUGGGUUUUGAUGUCCUGUUAUUGAUUAGACACAGGUUUCAAAUACAUCUUUUCACCUUUUCCCCUUUUUGUUAAAGGUUUUAAAAGGACGUCUCAACCCGAUUGAUAUUCUGCUUCAACUCACUCUUCUUUAUUCAUUACACACUGUUUUCAAACCUUCUUUCUCCCUUCUUUAAAAUUCUUUCUCUCUCUUAUUUUUUUUCUUUUAUUCCUAAGUCUUGUUUCUAAAUAGGCAUUAGCUAGAUAAACUCCUUAAGGACCAAACAGAUAACUGAUACUCCAUAAACCACAGUGCCAGAGAGGUAUGAGCAAGAUGAAGAAGCAGAGAAACCUUUCCCAAUUAAAAGAACAAGAGAAAUCCUCUGAAAGAAAGAUCAAUGAAAUAGAUAUCAAUAGCCUACUAGAUCAAGAUUUCAAAAAAGGAGUGAUCAAAGUGCUGAAGGAAUUAAAAGAGAUAGUGUUUAGAGAUAUAAAAUAUGUCAAAAAUGAAAUUGAAGCUAUACAGAAGAGCCAAGUAGAAUGGGUAAACUCAUUGACUGAGAUGAGGAAUGAUCUAAUAGUUGUGCAAAGCCAACUAGAUAAUGAAGAGGAACAAAUUAGUGACCUAGAAGAUAGGACAAUAGAAAGCACCCAUUCAGAAGAGCUACAAGAGAAACAAAUAAAAAAAAAUGAAAAUAGCAUAAGGGAACUAUGGGAUAAUAUAAAGCAUCUCAAUCUUCGCAUAAUAGGGGUCCCAGAAGGGGGAGAAAGAUCAAAGGGGAACAAAGAGGAUAUACCAAUUCAACUAAAAAGAUAAGUUCAAAAUGGCAAUAAACACACAUCUAGCAUUAAUUACUGUAAAUGUUAAUGGACUAAAUGCUCCAGUCAAAAGACAUAGAGUGGCAGACUGUAUACUAAAGCAAGAACCUUCAAUAUGCUGCAUACAAGAGACCCACUUUAGGGAGAAGGACAAAUAUAGAUUGAGAGUGAAAGGAUGGAAAAGGAUAUUCCAUGCAAAUGGAAAAGCCGAAAAAGCAGAUGUUGCAGUACUGAUUUCAGACAAAAUAGACUUUAAAACAAAGGGCAUAAAGAUAAAUAAGGACUUUUAUAAUGAUUAAAGGAGUGAUACCAGAUGAGGAUAUUACACUCAUUAAUAUAUAUGCACCCAAUAUAGGAGCACUUAAGUACAUACAAGAAUUACUAACAGAGAUAAAGGGGGAUAUUGAUGGGAAUACAAUCAUAGUUGGAGAUUUUAACACUGCAUUAACAUCACUAGACAGAUCUUCCAGACAGAAAAUAAACAAGGCAACAGAGAAAUUAAAUAAUACAAUAGAAAAACUACAUUUGGUGGAUAUUUUCAGAGCAUUACAUCCCCCCAAAAUAGGAUAUACAUUCUUUUCAAGUGCACAUGGAACAUUUUCUUGGAUCGAUCAUGUAUUUGGGCACAAAAGAAACCUCAACAAUUUUAAGGAGAUAGAAAUUAUCUCAAGCAUCUUUACUAACCACAAUGCCAUGAAACUGGAAAUCAACAACAGAGAAACAAAGGAGAAAAAAAGGAAAGCAUGGAGAUUAAACAAUAUGUUAUUGAAAAAACAAUGGGUCAAUGAGGAAAUCAAAGCUGAAAUUAAAAUAUAUCUUGAGAUAAAUGACAAUGAAAGCAAAACCACUCAAAAUCUAUGGGACACAGCAAAGGCAGUGCCAAAGGGAAGCUUAUAGCGAUACAGGCCUUCCUCAAAAAAGAAGAACAAUCUCAAAUAAACAAUUUUACCCACCACCUGAAUGAAUGAGAAAAAGAAGAACAAAAAGCCCCAAAAAGCAGCUGAAGGAAGGAAAUAAUAAAGAUCAGAGAGGAAAUAAAUACAAUAGAGAAUAACAAGACCAUAGAAAAAAAUCAACCAAACCAAAAGCUGGUUUUUUGAAAAAGUAAAUAAAAUUGACAAACCUCUGGCUGAACUCACAAAGAAGAAAAAAGAGACAGCACAAAUUAUCAAAAUAAGAAAGGGAAAUGAAGAAAUUACAACAAAUAAAAUAGAAAUACAGAAUGUCUUACAAGAAUAUUAUGAAAAACUAUAUGGAACCAAACUGGAUAACCUAAAUGAGAUGGAGAAGUUUCUGGAAAUAUACUGUCCACCAAGACUGAAUCAAGAAGAAACUGACCACUUGAAAAAUCCGAUCACUAGAAAGGAAAUACAAAUAGCAAUUAAAAACCUCCCUACAAAUAAAAGUCCAGGACCGGACGGCUUCACCGGGGAAUUCUACCAAACAUACAAUGAAGAACUCAUACCAGUCCUUCUCAAACUCUUCCAGACGAUUGAAAAUGAGGGACUACUCCCAAACUCAUUCUAUGAAGACACCAUCACCCUGAUAGCAAAACCAAGCAAAGACACUACAAAAAAAGAAUUAUAGGCCAAUAUCACUGAUGAACAUAGAUGCCAAAAUCCUCACCAAAAUUUUAGCAAAUAGAAUCCAACAUCACAUAAAAAAGAUUAUACAUCAUGACCAAGUGGUGUUCAUCCCAGGGACACAAGGGUGGUUCAACAUAUGCAAAUCAAUCAGUGUAAUACAUCACAUCAACAAGAGAAAGGACAAAAACCACAUGAUCAUCUCAAUCGAUGCAGAAGAAGCAUUUGAUAAAGUUCAACACCCAUUUAUGAUAAAAAAAACUCUUGCCAAAGUGGGUAUAGAGGGAACAUAUCUCAACAUAAUAAAACCUAUAUAUUACAAACCUACAGCCAGCAUAGUACUCAAUGGUGAAAAACUCAAAAGCUUCCCACUAAAAUCUGGGACAAGAAAAGGAUGCCCACUAUCACCACUCCUAUUCAACAUAGUCCUGAAAGUCCUAGCCACAGCAAUCAGGCAAGAGAGAGAAAUAAAAGGGAUCCAAAUUGGAAAAGAAGAGGUAAAAGUAUCAGUAUAUGCCGACGACAUGUUACUAUAUAUAGAAAACCCUAAAAGGUCCACGCAAAAACUACUAGAGCUGAUUGAAGAAUUCAGCAAGGUAGCAGGUUACAAAAUUAACGUUCAAAAAUCAGUUGCAUUUCUUUACACUAUUGAUGAAUCAACAGAAAAAGAAAGUAAAGAAACAAUCCCCUUUAAAAUAGCACCCAAAGUAAUAAAAUACCUAGGAAGAAAUCUAAUCAAGGAGGUGAAAGAAUUAUAUACAAAAAACUACAAACCAUUGAUGAAGGAAAUUAAAGAAGACUUUAAAAAAUGGAAAGAUAACCCAUGAUCUUGGAUUGGAAGAAUCAAUACUGUUAAAAUGGUCACACUGCCCAAGGCAAUCUACAGAUUUAAUGCAAUCCCUAUCAAAUUCCCCAGGACAUAUUUCACAGAACUACAACAAAUCAUAAUAAAAUUUAUAUGCAACCAUCAAAGACCUAGAAUUGACAAAGCUUUACUGAAGAGAAAAAGGCUGGAGGAGUAACUCUCCUGGACUUCAGACAAUACUAUAGAGCUACAGUCAUCAAGACAGCAUGGUAUUGGUACCAAAACAGACAUAUAGACCAAUAGAACAGAAUAGAGAGCCCAGAAAUGAACCCACAAACUUUUGGUCAACUAAUCUUUGACAAAGGAGGCAAGAAUAUACAAUGGAAUAAAGACAGUCUCUUCAGCAAAUGGUGUUGGGAAAACUGGACAGCAGCAUGUAAAUCAAUGAAGCUAGAACACUCCCUUACACCAUAUACAAAAAUCAACUCAAAAUUAAUCAAAGACUUAAAAAUAAGACAAGAUACAAUAAACCUCCUAGAGGAAAACAUAGGCAAAACUUUAUCUGACAUACAUUUCAAAAAUUUUCUCCUAGAGGAAAUAAAAGCAAGUAUAAACAAAUGGGACCUAAUGAAACUUACAAGCUUCUAUACAGCAAAGGAAACCAUAAGUAAAACAAGAAGACAACCUACAGAAUGGGAGAAAAUUUUUGCAAAUGAAACCAACAAAGGCUUGAUCUUCAGAAUAUAUAAGCAGCUCAUACGACUCAAUAAGAAAAAAAAUAAACAACCCAAUCCAAAAAUGGGAAGAAGACCUAAACAAGCAAUUCUCCAAGGAAGACAUACAAAUGAUCAAAAGGCACAUGAAAAAAUGCUCAAUAUCACUAAUUAUCAGAGAAAUGCAAGUCAAAACUACAAUGAGGUAUCACUUCACACCAGUCAGAAUGGCCGUCAUUCAAAAAUCCACAAAUGACAAAUGCUGGAGAGGCUGUGGAGAAAGGGAAACCCUCCUACACUGCUGGUGGGAAUGCAGUUUGGUGCAGCCACUAUGGAAAACAGUGUGGAGAUUCCUCAAAAUACUAGGAAUAGACUUACCAUAUGACCCAGGAAUCCCACUCCUGGGCUUGUAUCCAGAAGGAAAUCUAUUUCAGGAUGACACCUGCACCCCAAUGUUCAUAGCAGCACUAUUUACAAUAGCCAAAACAUGGAAACAGCCUAAAUGUCCAUCAACAGGUGACUGGAUAAAGAAGGUGUGGUAUAUUUAUACAAUGGAAUACUACUCAGCCAUAAAAACCGACAACUUAAUGCCAUUUGCAGCAACACGGAUGCUCCUGGAGAAUGUCAUUCUAAGUAAGCCAGAAAGAGAAAGAAAAAUACCGUAUGAGAUCGCUCAUAUGUGGACUCUAAAAACCAAAAACACACCAUACAAAAAAAAGCAUAAAUACGGGACAGAAAUAGACUCAUAGAGAAUACAGACUUGUGGUUUUCAGGGGGGUGGAGGGUGGGAAGGGAUAGACUGGGAUUUCAAAAUUGUAGAAUAGGUAAACAAGAUUAUACUGUAUAGCACCCGGAAAUAUACACAAAAUAUUAUGUUAGCUCACAGAGAAAAAAAUGUGGCAAUGAGUGUGUAUAUGUCCAUGUAUGAAUGAAAAAUUGUGCUCAACACUGGAAUUUGACACAACAUUGUAAAAUGAUUAUAAAUCAAUAAAAAAUGUUUAAAAAAAAAAGUGCUGAAUUAAAUUACAAAUUAAUACUGCUAAUUUUUUGAGAGAGUGGAAACUCUCCCUGUACCAUUCAUGUUAACAUUUAAACAUUUAUAUUUUUGUUAUUUUUGUAUUAUACACAUAAUAUAAAUAAACAGUGUAUAUAUACUAUUUAUGAAUAAAUACACAAACAACAAACAAACAUUGUAGUGUGGUCAAAAUUUUUUAUCCAAUUAUACAUGAUCAAAAUAAAAUUUGGAGACCACUGCUCUUGUGAGCUGUGUUUCUGCCCCACUUCAGGAUGUUGUUCGUACUUUGCCACUUGCCUGAUAGGCUCUCAGCCUUUUUUAAUCCCUCAUCAUCAUUGCUUACGUUGGGCUUAUCCGUAUCUCAGCUUAAAUGGCACUUUCUUAGAGAAGCCUUAUCUGUCCUUCAGAAGUUAAUUACUCUGUUCUCCAGUGGCUCUUUUUCCUUCAUGUUCGUAGUACUUAGAUGCAAUAUGCAAUUCUGUGUGCAUUUCUGUGAUAUUUGCUUAACAUUUCUACACUCCAGCCCUACCAACAAAACAAAACGAAACAAAAAACUAGGCUCUCAGCUGCAGGAAGACAUAGUCCAUAUAACCUUGGUGCCUAGAAGUUUCUGACAUAUAGUAGAUGUUGAAUGAAUAUUCUAGUCAUGUGUGAAGGAAUGAAUUGUCUUUCAAACUUUGUUAUGAAUGAACACCAAUUUGAACUGGUGUUUGGGAAUCAUGAGUUAGAUUAACCUUCCCAUUUUUACAGAUAAUGCAAAAGAGAUGAAAUUAUUAUGACUAUUAAACAGUUCUGGGGUAAGAAAUUAGGUCUCCUCAUUCCUCACUGAGUUAUUAAUACUGUCAUGUUGUCUCAGUUUUUAUACCAUAUUGAUUUGGAAUCUGUGUUCUUUGCCUUCAAGUCAGUGACCGACUUCUCCAUUCCAGGAAUUAUGUUUCAUCCAGGGUUUUGUGGGUCAUGAAGCUUAUACAAUACUGGGGACCUUUUCAAGCAAAAUAAAAUAAAAUUGUAAAUACAAAAUUGGAUGAAAAACUGAGUAGGUAGAUAAAUAUGCCAGAUGUAUUUGCUACCCUGAAAGAGCUAGAAAUAAGUUAACUGGUUAUGAAGAAGUAACUGGGAAUCACAGAUACCAUCCUUCUAAAACCGGUCUGCAACUCAACCUCCUUCUGGCUAGAUCCCAGUAAUGAUUGAGGUCAUACCAAAUAGCUGCCUGAUUUGACAGGAAGAGACUUGUCACAGAGGAUAACUUGGAAAGGAAAGAGAUAGUGAUUUUUUUUCCUUCCUCAAGUCUCACUUUUUUAUUUUAUUAAAAAAAUUUUUAGAGUAUAUUUUUUAUUGGACUUAAGUCAGUAUACAGUGUUCUGUCAACUUCUGGUGUAUAGCACAAUACUUCAGUCAUAUAGGAACAUAUAGCUAUUUGUAUUCAUAUUAUUUUUAACCAUAAGUUACUACAAGAUAUUGAAUACAGUUCCCUGUGCUAUACAGUAUAAACUUGUUAUCUAUUUUAUAUAUAGUAGUUAGUAUCUACAGAUCUCAAACUCCCAAUUUAUCCCUUCCCACCCCCUUCCACUGCCUCCAUAACCAUAAGUUUGUUAUCUUAACUAACUUUGGUUAACAAACUUAUUUUGCAAAUUUUUCAAGAUGUAUGAUCAUAUGAACACAUUGUUAGAGCCUCUCCCAGGAUCCUGGAAGGAAACUGUAGAAACAAAGAACCUUUAAAAUUAAUCUUACAGUUUUAUAAUAAACACUCCUCUGCAUGUAUGUUUUGUGUAAUAGCUUAACAAGUUUGCUCUCCUUGGCCUGUCCCAUUUGUUCUUCCUCUGUACUGUGUAUGCCCAGAAAAUUGAAUUUAUCAAACUACCAGGUUUCUAACACCAUCUUACUAACUGGUCCACUCUUUUUCCCACCCUCCUAUUGAUUGAUUUAUUUUGGUUUUUCCCCUUUGGGAUUUCUGUUCACAUUUAGAGGAAAACUAUGUCAUGAAUUCUGAACAUUUGAAAGCUUCUCUGGAGAGACUUUUCAACUCUGAGUCAAGUUCAAAACCUUUACAGCUCUCCCAGCAGAAAAUGGCACACUUUAUUAUUCCUAGAGCUCAAAUGCUACAUAUAUGUAUAUUCAAGAUGUAACAUUGAUCUUCUAACGAGUGUGUGUUCUCUUUCAUGUGGAGGGAAGUUAAAAGUUAGAAACAGCAGGAGAGAAGCCCGGUUGUCUUACAGUCAGCAGGCAAGUCUACAUGCUAUCCAUCAGGCCUGAGCAGAGCAGGAGGGGAAGAGCAGGAAGUCAGACUGAAGUUGAAUCUUGGCCUUGGAGAGCCCUGGAUAUAGUAACAGUAGACGGAGGACGGGUCAGGAUGCACUCCAGAGGAUUUUCUUUGCUAAGAACUCAUGUUUUGGAGGAAAUAAACUCCUUCCCCGACUCUACAAAUGAUGCCUAUGGCUCAGGCCAAGAGACUUCAGCAUAAGCUCACGUCCUGGACACAUUAUUAGUUCAAAAUGACAGUGACCGAACGUCUGGGGCUUGGGCUCCAGGGGCAGGUUUCAGCACUGACAGCGCAGCUGCAGGGAUCUUGGUGGCAACGCCUGGCGGUGCUUCUGAGUCCCGCUGCCCCAGCGAUGGCCCCAGUACCUGGGACUUGUCCUUCUGGCCCUGCACCCAACAUCCGAUCCAGCCCAUUGGACUUGUACACCUGCUUCUUCUCUGACCUCUGGUUUCGUGAAAGAUAAUCUCAGGACACCGUCAGCUCAACAGUUACAGAACUACUGUAGUCGCGUCUUCAGGAAUUGCUUGCUUUUUAAGGAUGAAAAUGCUGGAGGCAAACACUGUUUAACAGGCAAGCCUCCUGUGGCAAUAUUUGGAGUCGCAUCCUGCCAGAUUUGGAUUACAGACAGCCCAUAUGAUGUCUCAUCCAACAUUUCAAGGAGAACUUAAGCUAUGUUCCCUAGAAUGUAAUGGGACAGCUAUAUUUAUCUAAAUAAGACUUCCCAGUGUAUAACACAGCUACCUUGAAGCAUGACUGCACCAACACCGUGCUCAUGUUAGGUUUAUACCAAGAAGACAGCCAAAGCACAUGAAGACAUUCUGCAGUGGCUACAGACUCCAGGACUCCUGGAAAAACCACAUGUGGUUUUGUAUUAAGUUUUGAAGGAAUGGUGUUGAUUCUUGGAACCAAAUGUUUUAUUCUAUUUUAUUUUAUUUGGGGUAAUUAUGUUUGUUUGUUUGUUUCUUUCUUUCUUUAUGGUGGAGGUGCUGGGGAUUGAACCCAGAACCUUGAUGCAUGCCAAGCAAGUGCUCUACCACUGAGCUAUACCCUCCCACCCCUCCAAAAUUGUAUGUCUCAUUGUCAUAAUUAAGUCUUCUGUGUAGAAUGAAUAGAAUGUAAAAUCUAUACAUGCUUUAAACUUCCUAAAGGUUGAAUUUGCAUCUAUUUUACACUGAUAUUUUUGCAGUUAAUUUAUUUGUCAACAAUAGUAAUUUUGUUUAACUUUUUUGUCCUAUUUGUGGUAAACUCCAGAGGCAUGGAGAUCUUUACAUUUCUACAGUAAACUGUGCAGUUUAUUUUACACUUUUCAUUUAGGCCUGCGAGAAACAUUUUCUCAGAUAUGCUGAUUAGCUACUUAGCCAAGUUUUUGUCAUUUAGAGAUCUUCCCUGUUUUAUUUUGUAAUGACAGCUGUUAUGAGAUUGUCUCUGUUGAUCAGUGGAUGACUAUAAACAAAGCAGAAACAAUUGGCUCCUAAGGGUAACACCACUCACUUUUCACCAUCUACUUGCUGUGUCUUAGCUCUACCAGUAACAUAAUGUUAAGGCUUUCUUGUAGAAGAUUCUUAUAGGUAGUUCUCUAUGGAUAUUUAUACAUUUUCUUUGAAUGUGCUUAUGAUCAAUGUCAGAGGAAAAAUUUUUAUUUGUUAUAAAACAUAAGCAACAGCUAUUAAAAUUGAGAGCUAAGUAGUGUUUCCCAAAAUAGCAGUUUCUAGAAUUUCCAGGGGGGGAUUUUGAGAAACAGCUUUCCUAUGUCCUGCCCCAGACAUAUUAAAUCACACACUGUGAGGCCUCAGAAUCAUAAAAAACCCAAAAUGAAACAAACAAAAGCCCUUCCCAGUUUAGGGAGCCAUUGUUUUAAAACGGGUGGUGAUACCAAAUUUGCCAGAGUAACAGAGAGAUCUUUAGGUGUUCAUUCUUGUGUAUUCAGAGGUCAAAAUUCUAGACUCUGGGAGAAGCAAACUGAGGAUCAGGUCCUACUAAUUAGGAGAUAAAGCAGCAAAUUAAAAACAAAGCAAAAUGACUACAAAAUAGUCAAGUUAAUUGAACGAUUUGAAUCAUAAAUGUACAAGUCCUCAGAAAUGUAUAUAUUUUAUGUAACUUACAAAUUAUAGUAAAUCCAGCUAUUUUAAUCAAGAACAAGUCAAAACUGGUCACCAUAAUAAUAAUUCUUUGCAUUGGUAUGGUGAUUUGUUGUUUAAAUAUACUUUGAUAAAUAGAAUCUCUUUUGUCUUCAAAACUGAGAGAGAGACAGGGAAGUGUCUGGUAUUCUCAUUUUGAGACUCAGAGUUCUUUCCAGGAUUGCAGAGAAUUGGAGCCACGGCACAGAAAUCCCUGCAUGCUGAUCCAGUCAAUCAGAUCCCAAAUUUGAGAGGCAGAAUUUAGGAGGUUGCAUUAUCAGUUAUCUCAUGUUAUUUUAGGGUGAAUGGAAGGAUAUAAUGCAUUUAUUGUAAAAGUAAAGCUUUACAACUUAAAGGGGAGCUUUAUGUAUCUAGAAACUCUCAUUCCUCAAUGGAUUACUUAAGAGAACAAUGCUACAUCAAUGUUUAGGUUGGGAGGGAUAUUAAAGUUCAUUUAGUGUAGUUCUCUAAUUUUGUAGAUGAAGACAAUAAGACUCAGAGUCUUGUAGAGUUUGCCUAGUGAUUCAAAGCUAAUCUGACCAAUUUUGGCAAAAAAGGACAUCUUUCCUAAGUUCCAUAAUUAUGGAUUUGUUAAACAGUAAACUACAUUGGUGAGUGAUUUAUGUUAGUUCAAUUUGCUAAUAUGUUUAACUUUAAAUUUCACUUUUCUUGCAACAUAAAAUAUUUUGUAAUGCUUUAAAACAAAGUAACCUCUUUAUUCCCUAAAUAAGUUAUUGUAAAACUGUGAUAAAAUUGAUAACUUUAUGUCUAAGGGAUUUCACCCUCACCCAAAUUACAAGUUCGCUCUCUUUAUUUGAACACUAAUAAUGGCAUUUGCAAAGGAGCAGCAAAAGUAAAAUAUUUUCUUUUAGUUUCUUUGUAAAGUUUAACCGUUUUUACUUUGCGAUUAUGGAAAUAGCUAGAAAAUUACAUAAAACAAUAUUUUGAGGGCACGUUCUCCUAGUUGAUUUAAAUCACUGUGCUAACUGAAAAGUUUAAUAUUUCAGAAACUCCACAAGUUACUACAUUGAUCAGUAUCUGAUUCAUGCAUUGUGGAUAUAAAAAUGUAUUUAAGGAGAGGAAAUUGAUUCUAUGUGCUUCUUAUCAUCUGAGAAGUUAGUGAAUGUGGCAAUAUUUUAAAGGAGGGGGUAGAAAAAAAUGUUCUGCUUUAUAAUCAAAAUACUGUCUUCCUACUAUGAGGUCAUUAUUUUCUGGCACUGUGAAAUUCUUACAUGAAGAUGUUAAAGUGGAAAUAAACCAUAAUAGUUUAUAAAAUAUUUUCAGUAUGACAAUAAUCUGAAAAUAUGGGGAAAAUUGUCAUCUCUGACUCAGGUCAAACAAGACUGGGUAAAGUGUGUGUUAUGGUUCAAUGCAAAAUAAGUUUCUGUCUUACCAGAAAUUUUCUGUCAGUGAGUCUCUCUUCCUCCACUGCUGUGAAGAAAGAAGUGUAGAGCCCUUGAAAUUGUUACUAGGAUGAGUGUGGCAGUUUGGGGAUGAAGAUAACACUGCUGAAAGUAAAGAAGAAAGAAGGAGAAAAUCUGUGUCUUGAUUGACAUUCAGUUACACCUGAAUCAAAUCAGUUCCAAUGACUGGUCUCUCUUUGCUUCUACUUAUUAAAGCCAAUUAAUGCCCUUUAUUUUUUUAAGCCACUUUGAGUCGGGUUUUCUGUUGCUUAUAAAUGAGUGCCCCUUAAUGGGCAGAUCAUUUUAAACCCUUAAAUUGUACCUUAUGCUGCUUUCAUUGAUGCUGUAUUUUUCUGUGGGUUUUUAUCCAAUGAUGUGAGUGUUGUAGAGCCUGAGGCUGUAUAAGUGUACCCAUUUAUGAAUCAAACAAAUAAACCCUAGGUAUAAAAACAGCCUCCAAAGGAUUAUUCUAAAAUUCCCCUAGCAGCAUCAUGAGGAAUAAAUAUUAAUGCCUUUUAAUAGCUUUAUAGCUUACAAUUUUGACUGGCAGCAUCAUGACCAGUUUUAAAGAUGAGAGUAGAUGAAUAUUACUCAAAAGUGUAAAUUCAUGUCCAUAUCUACUCCAAAGUAAUUUCCUAAAAAUUGCAUUUGUGUUCUAGUUACUUUCCCAGGGAGUGCAUCUUUUCCUUGAGAGUGUAGGAGUAUAGUAUGAAAAGAUUUGUCAAACUUUAUUUCUUUGUAGGAAUCUUGGCUACUUGUGUAUGACCUUUAUUAUUGGGAAAGUUAAGUGAGACGGAUGGUCUAGGUCACUGGCCCAAAGCCAUCUUUUUUGAGGUCAUUUACAUCUGUCUGUCUUCAAAAUCAAGACAUUUGUUGGGAUAGCAGUUUCUGUGGGGAAUUUAUAAGCCAGGAUGCAGCUUAAAACAUGUAUUAUUUCUGAGGCUCAACUCCACCUCACCAGUUGGUUGAUAACCACUCUUUGCUCUGAAAUGUGAGUGGUUUAUAUGUUACAAACCUUGGUUCUACUCUCAGGACAUAACAGCAAGUAGUGUCAGCCAUCCAUGAAGAACAGAUCCUUAUUUUAUUUUUCCUCACUUCUCUUGAUGUUUGUAAGUAGUGACAUGACUUCUGAAAGCUUCUAAUAGCACUUGUGAGUUCUUCCAGGUUCCUUCGUCCUUUCUCACCUCUAUCACCAGCCCACAGUUCCCCUCAGCUAGUCUCUCAUCCUGUUCUGACAUUAUUGAGACUAAGCUGUGCAUACCCUAGAGUUUUGGCACGUUUUACUGUAUCUGGAGGACUGGUGAUGGUUGUGGGGCUUUAAAGUAGUCAUCUACAUGCGUUGUUGAGCAGAACUUUGGGACAUGUGGGCAUAGUGGAACAGUUCCUAAUGAAGAAAGAUCUGAAAUAUAAGUUUGAUUCAAAGUCAAUGGAUGAAAUCCAGCCAAUGGGGUAACUGGGCAUAGAAUAAUACCACUUUCUCAAAUAUCCUCUGAUCAUGAGUCAUAAAUUUAUUUUUGAACUCUAGGAUAAAGGACUAUAAAAAGAGAACAAGAACAUUGAAUUUCCUAUGUUUGUAUUCCCUUGGGAGAAAAAGUUGUGUAAUAUAUGAAUAGCAUCGAUGCCUAUGGCUUCUGCUCUGAAGGGGAACUGUGCUAGACUUCUUCCCAAUGAUUAUAAGGUUUGAGUUUUAUAAGUGAAAGUCAUUAGUACCAAUAUUGACAUAAGCAAACGUUGGACACUGGCAGUCUUGUUGUACACGUUAGCCGGCAGUGAUGGUAUUUGUGAUAGACAACAUCAGGGGCAUUUGGGGCAAUGAAAACCUAAACAAACCUAAACUGAAAUUUAAUACAGACAUACAGAAGAAAUGGAAGUAAAGGAUAGAGCUCAUUUUGUGCUUGUGAGGAUUGUGUUUUUGCAAACACAAGAAACAAUCCUUAGGGACUCUGCAGAGAGUAUAGUGAAAAAAUGUUUAUAGCUAAUGCAUGUGGAAUACCUAGCAUGUCCUCAACACUAGGCUAAGUUCUUAACACUUAACGUUACAAUAAUCCUAGGAAGUAGGUGCUGAAAUGAUUUUCCCAUUUCUCCAGUAAGAAUGACUGGAUAUUUUGUACCUUGUGCAAGAUCACUUGAUAUCUGACAGAGCUGGGAUUAGAAGCAAGGCAGUUUGGCUCUGUAUUUUUUAGACUUGUGUUUUUUAAAACCACUAGAAUUCCAGUAAUUCAUGGGCGUACUACCAUCAUACGAAUUUUCCCCUCAAGGCAAAGGUGGAUUUUGAAAUUCAAGGUUGUUUAAUGGGUGCACAAUACAAGUUUAGGGGAUUAAAAUGAAAAAUGAACAUACUUUUAGCCUGUGGGUAAGAUAUUACCUCUAACUUACUUCAUCUGGUGUUAUUACUGUAGUCCCACCAGGGUGAUUUGAGUGUAACUCCCUUCCCUGUAGGCUGAAGGGUACAUUUCUCCAUUUAUCAAUUCAAAAUUGUUGUAUUAAAUGUCUGCCUACCAUAUGUCAGACAUUGUAGUGGGUACAAGGAUUCAGUGAAAAUGAAAGAAAGAUAGAAGCUCUUUUAGAAAAAUUACUUUCUAGCAUGUAACUAGGAGCUAAAGAGUUGUGAAUGGUGGUUAAUUGAUUGGUUAGCAGCUUCAAAGAGGAGUGUUUUGAGGUGCUAAAUAUUUUGUGACAGCUGAGGAACUAGCAGAGGGAGACUUAAAAACUAAUUAACAUGUACUCCACGAUCUGAUGAACCUCCGUCUCCUAUUUCUCUCUCUGUUUCUGUGUCUCUGGUCUUCUCUUCCUGUAUGCAUCCCCCAUAUUGCUCUCCUCUUUCACUGUUUUCUCUUAAAAUGUAAUCACAUAUAAUGUAGCUAAAUGAAGUAUCCUUAUUAUUGUUUCUUCUCCCCAUUGGUCUAGAAGGCUGAGGUACAUAGAGAAUUUUUUUUAAAAAUUUCAACUCCAGAGUAACAUGUCAGUCCUUUUGAAGAGAGGAGACCUCAUUUUCAGCCAAGGGGCUACUGCCAAAUGGCUGUGCAUCCAGAAGGCAGUGGGAAUGGGAAAAGGAGCAGGAAUACUGGUGAUCCCCCAAAGCCAAUGGAGGUAUCCGUAAGAGGAAGAGACAGCUUUAAUCAUAUGUCAGUUGCAAAGAGAACUGAAGCCAAAUUUCCACAUUACCAAUCAGUGAGAAAGUUCUUAACUCAUUCGACUUCAUUCCUCUUUUCCUUUGUAUAUUUUUCUGAAGCUAGAGAGGAAAGACCAAUGAUAAUCUCCUUUCCCAACCAGGGGAAAGAGGGAAGUUCUAAUAUUAAGUCAGUAUUAAAGUUUUGACUAUUACACAGGUCAGGGCAUUAUAAUGACAAGAUUAAGACUGGAUUGUGCAACUAAACAUGAUUUGAGAACAUUUUAUAUUGUCAAAAAGUGAUCAGAAAUUUAUGGGGUUAUCUUCAUCGUUGGGCAGGGAAUGAGCCAGCCCAGAAGACCAAAUGAAAGGGACAAGAAGACAAGCAUAAUUUUGCUUUCUGAAAAAUUUACUUUAGAAUUUUACUCCCUGCAUUAAGAAAGCUAAACUUGCCCGUAUAUGAGAAUAUCUCCAGGAUGUAUACUCGGAGCAGAUUUGGUGAGUUAUAAAUUAUUGACAUGUUUUUAUAUAUGUAUAUAUGUAUAUGUUAUAUAUAUAUGUUAUAUGUGUGUGUGUAUAUGUAUAUAUAUAUAUAUAUAUACUUUUAAUAUAAUGCUAAUUAUUUCAAAUCAGAAUAGCCUUAACGUUUCUCUCAGCUUCAUUAAACUUUAGCAGACUUCCUCCUGUGUCUUGGGCCCUGACCUCUCUCUCACCCCCUCACCCCAGCCAGGUGGCCCAAACACAGUGGUCCUUCCCCUCCCUUAUCUUACAGCAUUUAUUAAGAAAACACAUGCUUGUAAAUCCUUUCUUUUCCUCUUGAGAUGUCAUUCUUUUAGGCAUCUUUUGCCAGUUGAACAGCCCAGGAAUGUGUUUCUCAAAGACCUGAGAGCCCCUCUCUUUGAAAAGAAAUUUUCAAGGAAGAGAGGGCACUAUUUUCCAGUCCCUGUGGACCCUAAAUUCAGGGGGACAUUGGUCCAAGUUGCAAAACUACCGUCCGUCAUAGAAAUAGAAGAACGCUUACUUCUCCUUUGGAAAAUCUCAGCAAACACAGAUGGGCCGGGAUUCCUCUAAUCACAGCUACAAAAUCCUCUGCCACCCUUUGCUUUGGUUAGUUGAGUUCAGCCUGAACUCAGGCCUCUCUCUCCCACAGCAAUAACUUUGAAUGAAGUCUUACAUGUCUGUCUGACAGAGCAGUCGCUGGUCCUGUAGAGUUCUGAAUUUCUCCUGGGCAAAUGUUGUCAGGUCCAUGUAGCCUAGAGCAGGAUCUGCACAGGUUGGCCCAUCAAGCUAGAUCCUGCCACUCAUUGUCUUUUUUAUGAUCUGGGAACUGAGGAAGGCUUUUAAGUUUAAAAGAGUUAAAAACAAAAUGAAAGCAAAGAAAAAUAUGCAGAGACCACAGGUGGCCAGCAAGCCUGAACUAUUUACUAUCCAUUCCUUUACAGGGAAAAUGGGCCCACCUCUGCCCUAAAGCUAGGGGGGGACCUUUUGGUGCCUGGUCAGCUUUCCCAGUGUGCUGUCUGCCUGUAGGAAUUUAGAAGCCCUGAGAGUUUUUCUCUCUUGAAGUGGUUUCAGUUUUCUUUCAUCCAGGCUGCCAGGGCAUUAGCCAAUUCAACAUUUUCAAAAACUCUGUAGCUGUUAUUUUAUAUCAAUUCUAGAGGUGCAGGAUGCAUCAGACUUCUGUGUAACCACACCUUUAACCAUCCUAGAACCUUCUUUGGCUGAGCGUAUCUGAGGUGCUCAUGUUAAUUCUUUCAGAGUUUUUUAGAAAUGGGCUUUCCAGUUAUAAUCUUGUUUUUGUCUUUUGCCUGAGGCCAUGUUUUCCUGGCCCUAUCCCUACCCCCUCUUCCAUAUUUGGUUUCUGUCCUGAAGUUGAUUUUGUGAGAAAUAGUUUUAUUUCUCAUCCCUUUAAUUUCUGGCCUGACUAUGUUGCAGCAAAGAUUGUUACAGCUCAGUGUUACAGCUUAGUUGUGACAGCCACCUGGAUCUGGGUGAGACCAAGCAGUACUUGGAGGGUUGGAGAACUCAGGUUUAUUACGCCAGUGGGCCCAAAGGAGUUAAUAUUCCAAGCUCUGGACCCUGUCUGUAGGUUUACAUAGGCUUUUAUAGGCUGCUGGUCAAGACUUUGCCACAUCAUAUGCAAAUAAGAUGUAACAAAAGUUGACUCAUUAGGAAUGAGCUUUGUAGAACUGGACCAGUCAGGAGUGAUAGAAAUGGACCAAUCAGAAGUGACAGAAAUGGACCAAUCAGGAGUUAGCUCAGGGAACCAAUGGAAUCUUAGGGUUAAGUUCCGCUUUCCUAGAAGCAAGCCAUUUUAGAUGCAAAAAGCGUGAUAAUGCCACUGGGCCAGGGAACUGGAUGGUGCUGGCAGGAGAGUAGUGGCCCUGCCUGAGGGUCCUGCCGAUCUUUUUCAUGGGGCUUCCCAGCUCAACUAUAUUCUCUUCAAAUUCUGUUCCCAACUGGCCACUUUCUUUCUGAGCUCAAUUCUUUCUUUUUAGUACCUUAUCAAAUGCAUCCAAUAACAACACACAUUUUCAGAAUCUUCUUAAAAUUACCUCUUCCUACCCUUUUAAGGUCAUUAGGUAGAUUUUAUUCCUUCCAUGUUAUCACAGGCAGUGGUUUUUACUAAGUGUUUUCCCACUCAUAUAGGUCACCAUUUUUAUAGUUGCUUUAACUGUUUCUUCAGUGCCUACCACUUGGUGUCAAAUCCUUUGUCACACGUUUGAGAAUUUUAUUACCACAAGACCUCAUUUCUAGUUACCAAUCUCUGAGUUUAUCAACUAUUGUCAUAACAGUGCUGACUAAUUACAUGAAAUUCAGUAGCUUGAAACAGCAUUGACAUAUUCUUGGUGCAGAAUCUAUGAGUGAGAUAAGAUUGAGAGAUUGACAGAUUUUGGCUGAGUUUUUCCACUAGACUAGGCUGGGCUUGGUUCAGUAGGUUCUCCAAGACAUCUUCUUGUGAUGGAUAGCAGAAACAUAAAAAUGCAAGUGCAGCUGCACAAGCACAUGAAGGUCUCUAGUUAUAUCAUUGCCAAUCACCUCUGGUCUAAGAAGUUCCCAUGGACGUGCCCAAAGGCCAAGGGGCAGAGAAAUACACUCUAGAAAAAUAAAGUUAUGGUUAAGGGUGUGAAUAUAAGGAAGAGUGAAAGACUAAGACCCAUAAUUCAUUCUCCUACUGAAGGUAAUUGAUACAGAGUGCAAAUAAUGCAAACCCAUUCCAACAUUUAUAGGUGGCUCUGAAUAAUGAAUAAGAACAUUCAGAAGAGAAGUGGAAAUCAAUGUCAUUUAAAAAAAUAUCAGAACUGAAAAAAGAAAUGACACAGCUGUGUAUUUCUGAAGUGCUUACCCUAUUAUACAAUUAAAUGAACUCAACUCAAUCAAAAAAGAACUAUAAAAUAUACUCCAGGAAAGGCAAAAAUAGGAAAUAAUAAAGAGAAAAGUAUAAAUGAAUGCAUUUGAACAUAGAAAAGGGAAUAUAUUGUAAACAUGUCCUUGAACUUAUUUUAGAAAAACAUAAUAGAAAAGUCCUGGCAGAUCAAAUUAAGGACAAAAGAGAGGAAGUGUAAAUAAGUAAAAAUUAGAAGUAGAAGGAGCACAGACAUGUGCAUUUAAAAAAUGAUUUUAUUAAAAUUUGAUCUCAAUAAAAUAAUUACAUAGUGAUUAUAGAGAUUAGAUUUCAAAAAUAUAUGUUUCUUAAACUGGUUAAUUAAUAAUUCUCUAGUAAAUAUUAUGUCUUCAAGUAUGAAGAAAAAGUGUAAAAUGUCAUGAAAAUUUGUACCUCAAAGAAUUCUUUUGACUUAACCAUAAUAAAACAUCUAACUUUCAUUGUUGAUGAAGUGUCAACCUAUGUGCUAUAUGCUUUGCAUGAUUAAUAUGUUAUAUAUGUCAGAAUAUAAUGGAAGUUUUAUAAUCCCUCUAUGACAAGUGAGAAAACUAAAGUUCAGAAGGUAAAAAAUUUACCUGAGGCUGCCCAGUUUGGCAGGCACGUUUGGGAUUUGGAUGGAGGUAGCUGGAUUGAGAGCUUCUGCUUUUAAUCACAGUGCCACUCCUGAUUUUGGGGCACUUAAAAAAUUUCUUUUUUACUUCUGAAGUUUUAAGAAAGCAUAAAAGUGAAAAGUGUGAGGAUGUAAAAGUUAUUUUUCCUUUAGGGAAACGUUUCUAAAACACAAAUUAAAAAAUCAAAUGUUGAAGUAGAAAAAAAUUACAAA